GUUACCUACCUCUCAGUUUGGGACAACCUGUCGAAAGACGGGCUAAUACUGAAUAAGACCACGACAUUUUCGGAUGCAGUGGUAAAAGAUGGCCUCUUCAUGAAAGCUAUCGCUGAUAGAUGGGCCUGCGCACCAUUAGCUAGUUGGUAGGGUAAUGGCCUACCAAGGCUACGAUGGUUAGCUGAUCUGAGAGGAUGAUCAGCCACACUGGGACUGAGACACGGCCCAGACUCCUACGGGAGGCAGCAGUGGGGAAUAUUGGACAAUGGGCGAAAGCCUGAUCCAGCAAUUCCGCGUGAGCGAAGAAGGCCUUCGGG
rnacentral:rRNA from 1 species